AAUGCCUGCAAAGCUGAUCCUCUUCUCCUUGAAAUAACCUAAAAACUUAAAUAAUUUUUAUAUUAGUAAGCAGUGACUACUUCAGCCGCUCACCUUUUGUUCUCACUUUGAUAAACAAAACGAAUAAAUAUUUCUCCCUGACAGGCAUGCUACUUUGUGGCAUGUUUAGUUUUCAGGUGACAAAGUUUAAAAUGAGACCUUUUGCAUCAGCUACUUCUGUGAAAAAAAGAAGAGAUGCUUUGAUUAAAAAAAAAAAAAAAAAAAACACUUCAACAACCAGAAACACUAAUACAACAUACAAGUAAAUGGGAUGGCAUGUUCUCAAAUGGGAUCUCUUGUUUAUAAAUGUAUUGCAAAUGGAAUGUAAUG